CUUGAUCAAACAAGUUGGCAAAACUGUCUAAAUUGGUUUGCGAAUCAGUUUGAAUGAAAAUGCCAUUUUUUUAUGGACAUAUAUCUUAAUUUAUACAUUAAAUAAGCUACCAUUGUUCAGAAAGUAUGAAAUGAUCACCCGCCGUCCCACGGUAAUUUGUGGGUAGCCUAUUGCGCAGUGGUGGCGCCGGCGAGCUGUUCGUCUUGAAAAUAAACGCCUUUGCGUAGACACAGUUAACCAGCGCCAAAUAUAGGGGAGCACAGGGCACAAACUAACGCGGGGUUAGUUGUAACACACGUUUUAAAUACUUCCACACACCGCUAGGCCACAGCUCUAAUGUCCUUUAUAAUUUAUUUUCUACACCACUCCUUGCCACACAAACAGUUUCUCUGUUCUAUUCCCCAUUUUCCAUGUCGUCUCUCCUCUUAACAUCUCUGGCAGCCUCUUCUGCAUGUGGAUUCAGCCCUUCAUCUCCUUGUGUUGACAUGUUAUCUUUAUCUACUCAACAGUGUCUGAUCCUCACUCCUGUCCACUCUCAACUCUCAACACAUUUACCUGCAGCUAUCCUCCACUGACCUCUCCUGCUGUUACCUUACAUCACCUCUCCUCUCUGUUUUUGUGUAAAAGAAAGCAAAGUCAUUAGAGCUACCACGAGACAACAACAAACAACUCUGCCUUCUGGCUGUUGAAGACAGCAUGACAUGCCCACAGACACCCAAGCGCAUUCUCACCAUUAUUACCAUGCCAUUAUAUUACUAUUGCUUAAAAUGUGACCCAAAAAAGCCCUCUGUUUUUCAUUGUCUGUCGCUCCUAAUCUCUCUAUUUCUCUUCCUCCCUCAUGCAACUAUUUCAGUCCAAUCGGCCUUCCUCCCUUGAGCUGUGCCUGUCCUUGCCCUGCUGUGGAGACUCUACUCACAGGCCUCUGGGAAACCAUAGGAGCCUUCCAGGCUGUGGUGAGACAGACUGACAGAGACAGAAGUGAAUAGGAUAAAGGCUCUGCGGAGAUUGACCCACUGCAGUGGGGUCUAUUAGUGUAAGCUACUGUCUGUUAAACGACUGAGAGGGUGAUUUGGGAAGGUUUUUUUAAUGGCUGGUUUGAUAAAAGCCAGAGUGCGAUUCUGCAGGACUAUCUGCAGUUCAAUUUUAUGGUUACAGAUUGAAAAAUCUCUGUCAUCAUUUACUCACCCUCGUGUCUUCCGAAACCUGUAUGACUUUCUUUCUUCAGUGUGUGACUGAGUGGAUAAGGAUGGUGUACAGGGUGGGGCAUAUGUAUUUAUUUUGCCCUAUAAAUAGCGCAAAGGUUGGUAGAUUGCGUAACUUCCUGACGCUUUUCCGUCUCCUUCCGGUGUUGUGACCCUGAAGUGCCAUAGCGAGGUAUGAGCAUGGCAUUUGUUUAGAUGCUGUAAGAGUUUGUACAGGGACACUUUGUUUCUUUACAUGGUUUAUUCUGUGUUAAUUGUAGGGAGGUAACCCCUGAUGCAAGAGUGUGAGCGCGUGGGCUGUUAGUAUGGUUAUUGUCUAAGUUGUGGACGCCGUGUUUCGCCUAUAGCAACGAGCUGUAUUACACAGCGUUUCUAUUCCACUCUAUCACGCAGAGUUUUCAUUCCACUCUCAGAUUAUGCCAGAGGAGCCAGUCUGCUUGGGAGUACUUUCCACUGGGGUCAUCCGGGUCUUUCCUUCACUGCAUGUGGCGUGAGAUUUCCUGCACUGCAUGGGUAUCGGUUUGAGAAUGAUGCCUGUCCCGAGGUCACUAGAGUACAUCAGCUUGGAUCCAGCCUUUUAUGAAGACUUCAGAUGACCAACACCUGUGAAGAGACGGCGCCAACCCCUGCGACUCUGGAUUAACAUGCACCAUUCCAAAUCUUCCUAUAUAUCCUAAUCAUUGUUAACAUGUAUUCAUUACUUCCAUGAGCUGAUUGUUUCUGCCUUAAAUUAAUACAUUGCGUAAAUUAAUACAUUGUUAGCUAACUGCGUGAUUUGUAUUUGUACAUUUCUGAAAUUACAUAAUUUGGACACAGCCAACUCUGAUAACAGAUUACUCUAAAUUGCAAUGUUGACAUGCAUUCUCUGUAAAGCUGCUUUGAAACGAUAUGUAUUGUGAAAAGCCCUACACAAAUAAAUGUGA